rnacentral:rRNA from 1 species
AUUGAACGCUGGCGGCAUGCCUUACACAUGCAAGUCGAACGGCAGCACGGGUGCUUGCACCUGGUGGCGAGUGGCGAACGGGUGAGUAAUACAUCGGAACAUGUCCUGUAGUGGGGGAUAGCCCGGCGAAAGCCGGAUUAAUACCGCAUACGAUCUACGGAUGAAAGCGGGGGACCUUCGGGCCUCGCGCUAUAGGGUUGGCCGAUGGCUGAUUAGCUAGUUGGUGGGGUAAAGGCCUACCAAGGCGACGAUCAGUAGCUGGUCUGAGAGGACGACCAGCCACACGGGGACGGAGACACGCCCGAGAGUCCGACGGGAGGCAGCAGUGGGGAAUUUUGGACAAGGGGGGAAAGCCUGAACCAGCAAUGCCGCGUGUGUGAAGAAGGCCUUCGGGUUGUAAAGCACUUUUGUCGGGAAAGAAAGCCUUGGAUCUAAUACAGUCGGGGGAUGACGGUACCGGAAGAAUAAGCACCGGCUAACUACGUG